rnacentral:rRNA from 1 species
UACGGAGGGUGCAAGCAUUAAUCGGAUUUAUUGGGCGUAAAGGGCGCGUAGGCGGAAAUAAUAGUCAGAUGUGAAAUCCCGGGGCUCAACCUCGGAACAGCAUUUGAAACUGUAUUUCUAGAGGGUAGGCGGAGAAAACGGAAUUCCACAAGUAGCGGUGAAAUGCGUAGAUAUGUGGAAGAACACCGGUGGCGAAGGCGGUUUUCUAGCUUACUCCUGACGCUGAGGCGCGAAAGCGUGGGGAGCAAACAGG